GCUGGGCGUGGUGGCGCACACCUGUAAUCCCAAUGACUCAGGAGGCUGAGGCAGGAGAAUUGCAAGUUUGAGGCCAGCCUGGGCAGUUGAGUGAGAUUCUGUCUUGA
rnacentral:sRNA from 1 species